UACGUAGGGUGCGAGCGUUGUCCGGAAUUAUUGGGCGUAAAGAGCUCGUAGGCGGUCUGUCGCGUCGAUCGUGAAAACUUGGGGCUUAACCCUGAGCUUGCGGUCGAUACGGGCAUGACUGGAGUUCGGCAGGGGAGACUGGAAUUCCUGGUGUAGCGGUGAAAUGCGCAGAUAUCGUAAGGAAGACCAGUGGCGAAGGCGGGUCUCUGGACAGUUCCUGACGCUGAGGCACGAAGGCCAGGGGAGCAAACGGG
rnacentral:rRNA from 1 species